UACGUAUGGUGCAAGCGUUAUCCGGAUUUACUGGGUGUAAAGGGGGCGCAGGCGGUGCGGCAAGUCUGAUGUGAAAGCCCGGGGCUCAACCCCGGUACUGCAUUGGAAACUGUCGUACUAGAGUGUCGGAGGGGUAAGCGGAAUUCCUAGUGUAGCGGUGAAAUGCGUAGAUAUUAGGAGGAACACCAGUGGCGAAGGCGGCUUACUGGACGAUAACUGACGCUGAGGCUCGAAAGCGUGGGGAGCAAACAGG
rnacentral:rRNA from 1 species